rnacentral:rRNA from 1 species
AGUGAACGCUGGCGGUAGGCCUAACACAUGCAAGUCGAACGGCAGCACAGGAGAGCUUGCUCUCUGGGUGGCGAGUGGCGGACGGGUGAGGAAUACAUCGGAAUCUACUUUUUCGUGGGGGAUAACGUAGGGAAACUUACGCUAAUACCGCAUACGACCUACGGGUGAAAGCAGGGGAUCUUCGGACCUUGCGCGAUUGAAUGAGCCGAUGUCGGAUUAGCUAGUUGGCGGGGUAAAGGCCCACCAAGGCGACGAUCCGUAGCUGGUCUGCGAGGAUGAUCAGCCACACUGGAACUGAGACACGGUCCAGACUCCUACGGGAGGCAGCAGUGGGGAAUAGUGGACAAUGGGCGCAAGCCUGAUCCAGCCAUACCGCGUGAGUGAAGAAGGCCUUCGGGUUGUAAAGCCCUUUUGUUGGGAAAGAAAUCCAGCUGGUUAAUACCCGGUUGGGAUGACGGUACCCAAAGAAUAAGCACCGGCUAACUUCGUGCCAGCCGCCGCAGUAA